AAGUCGUAACAAGGUUUCCGUAGGUGAACCUGCGGAAGGAUCAUUAACACGUUAUCCACGUAUUCACCCUUUGCGAACUUCGUUUUUAAAACAUAUUUUAAAAAACAAACUCAUUAUUAUUCACCCCUUUCACCCUACAUUUUUGCUAGUUGACUUUUUCUUUUUAAUGUUGUUUUGUUAUGUUUGUUUACUCAAACGUUCCGAACACACGUUUAAAUAAUUUUUACUUGAACGUUAAAAAAAAUACAACUCUUAGCAAUGGAUAUCUUGGUUCUC
rnacentral:misc_RNA from 1 species